AUUGAACGCUGGCGGCAGGCCUAACACAUGCAAGUCGAGCGGAUGAAGGGAGCUUGCUCCUGGAUUCAGCGGCGGACGGGUGAGUAAUGCCUAGGAAUCUGCCUGGUAGUGGGGGAUAACGUCCGGAAACGGGCGCUAAUACCGCAUACGUCCUGAGGGAGAAAGUGGGGGAUCUUCGGACCUCACGCUAUCAGAUGAGCCUAGGUCGGAUUAGCUAGUUGGUGGGGUAAAGGCCUACCAAGGCGACGAUCCGUAACUGGUCUGAGAGGAUGAUCAGUCACACUGGAACUGAGACACGGUCCAGACUCCUACGGGAGGCAGCAGUGGGGAAUAUUGGACAAUGGGCGAAAGCCUGAUCCAGCCAUGCCGCGUGGGUGAAGAAGGUCUUCGGGUUGUAAAGCACUUUUGGUGGGAAAGAAGAGCAGCAAGUUAAUACCUCGCUGUUUUGACGGUACCAAAAGAAUAAGCACCGGCUAACUUCGUG
rnacentral:rRNA from 1 species